rnacentral:rRNA from 1 species
CCCUUAGAUGUUCUGGGCCGCACGCGCGCUACACUGAUGCAUUCAACGAGUGUACCUUGGCCGAGAGGCCUGGGCAAUCUUUUGAACGUGCAUCGUGAUAGGGAUAGAUUAUUGCAAUUAUUAAUCUUGAACGAGGAAUUCCUAGUAAACGCAGUUCAUCAAACUGCAUUGAUUACGUCCCUGCCCUUUGUACACACCGUCCGUCGCACCUACCGAUUGGAUGGUCCGGUGAAGCCUCGGGAUUGUGGCGGUUGCCUUUAUUGGUGGCCGCCGCGAGAACUUGUCUAAACCUUAUCAUCUAGAGGAAGGUGAAGUCGUAACA